AAGGUAGGGACUUUGUAAAGUCUGACAGUGGAUUAGUCCUUGAGUUGAAAUCAAAGGAAGAGAACAUUUUAUGUUCAAUUAGUUAGGGGGCAAUUUUGUAUCAUCAUUCCGCUUAAUGAUCCCAGACACCAUCAUCUCUUUCCUAAUUUGUCUUUGGCCACAAAAUAACAGGUCCAAACCAAAGUGACCCAGGAGGAGUUAUUCGCUUUAUAAUGAAAAUUGCCUCAUCAUCUGCUUCUGUGUCACAGUGAGGAGAGUGCUACUGCGGCUCUGCAUAGAGCCAUAAUGCUGGCUGUGUUUUAUCAGUUCUGUCCAGGCAUUUGCAUGUGAUGAAGCUGGGAAGGGGCUUGCUGCUUUUGAAGACUGGCUCUUAAAGGGCUCAUACAUCAUAGCAGUAAAGAACAUCAUCACAAUGGUGGCCAUUCGGCUGCUCUCUUAGCCACCUUGACAGAGCCAGAGCUAUUCUUCUGCUUUUAAGCUGCCUUUCCUCCUAGGGUCAUCUGGUUACAUCACUAGACCAGUUAAGGAGCACUGGCAUCAUCAAGCUGCUCCAGGAGAUCAUGUCACAUUAAAAAGGGUUAAGAAUCCCUCAUUUAGAAGCUUGCACUUGGAUUGAACCUUGAAAGAGACCAGAGAGUUCAAGAGGCAGGAAUGAGGACGAAGUACAUUUCAGCAAUACUAGAGAACCAGUACAGAGGUGCAGAGGUGGGAGAUUAAAUGAUCUGUGUGAGAAACAGCCAAAAAGCUGUGUAGCUGGAUUGUAGCAUCCAGCAAGGGGAAGACUGAAGAGUAAGUUUGGAAAGGUGGUAAUCAUUUGCAAAAAACCUUUUCUUUAGUGGAAGAAAUAUCUCAGAAGUAAUUGAGCUAUGCACUUUUAGAGCAUGGGUGGCAGCAGGUCUUGAAUGCAGGGCAAAGGACUUGGGGACAAAGAAAUUCAAGUGAGGUUUGAAAAUGAGGAACAAGGAAUAAAAGAAGGUUGUGAGUCAAAACAAAGUGGAAAAGCCAGAGUCAGAGCAAAGGCGAGUGGAUAUGAUCAGAGCAAAGAGAGGGUCAGAAGCCAAGAGAUCAAGAGAGGGAAGAGUGAGUCAGAAAAUCUAAAGUCCAGACACAGGAAUCAAGAAAUUUUAGAGGAGUUGAAGAGCUCUUGAACCCUCACGAUUAAAAGCAGCUUUUCUAGGUUGCUAAGAACUGCAAAAUUUCGCUGUGUGCAGAAGAGGGCAGCAGUGGGCUGAAUACAUUGUUAAGUAAAGUUUUUCUGCAAUGCUGAGAAGUUCAACUUACCAGACAAUUCAUAAAAACAAGUGAUGUAUUGGAGGCCUUGUAAAAGGUGGGAGUAUGGACACUGAAGACUGGAUAAAUAUCAUGGAUGAGAACUUAGCUAGGACAAAGACUGGGAGUUAAAGAACUAGGUAGGGUAAAUACAGAAUUAAUAAAUGUCAUUGGAUGAUCUUUA